rnacentral:rRNA from 1 species
CACGGAUCCAGAGUUUGAUUAUGGCUCAGUAUGAACGCUAGCUACAGGCUUAACACAUGCAAGUCGAGGGGCAGCAUGGGCUUAGCUUGCUAAGCCCGAUGGCGACCGGCGCACGGGUGAGUAACACGUAUCCAACCUGCCGAUCACUCCGGUACAGCCUUUCGAAAGAAAGAUUAAUCCCGGAUGGCAUGGCGAUUCCGCAUGGUUUCUCCAUUAAAGGUUUUUUCCGGUGAUCGAUGGGGAUGCGUUCCAUUAGGCAGUUGGCGGGGUAACGGCCCACCAAACCUACGAUGGAUAGGGGUUCUGAGAGGAAGGUCCCCCACAUUGGAACUGAGACACGGUCCAAACUCCUACGGGAGGCAGCAGUGAGGAAUAUUGGUCAAUGGGCGGAAGCCUGAACCAGCCAAGUAGCGUGAAGGAUGACUGCCCUAUGGGUUGUAAACUUCUUUUAUAAGGGAAUAAUUGCGGGUACGCGUACCUGUUUGCAUGUACCUUAUGAAUAAGGAUCGGCUAACUCCGUGCCAGCAGCCGCGGUAAUACGGAGGAUCCUAGCGUUAUCCGGAUUUAUUGGGUUUAAAGGGAGCGUAGGCGGGCGCUUAAGUCAGCUGUGAAAGUUUGGGGCUCAACCUUAAAAUUGCAGUUGAUACUGGGUGCCUUGAGUGCGGUAUAGGCAGGCGGAAUUCGUGGUGUAGCGGUGAAAUGCUUAGAUAUCACGAAGAACUCCGAUUGCGAAGGCAGCUUGCUGGAGCGUAACUGACGCUGAUGCUCGAAAGUGUGGGUAUCAAACAGGAUUAGAUACCCUGGUAGUCCACACAGUAAACGAUGAAUACUCGCUGUUUGCGAUAUAUUGUAAGCGGCCAAGCGAAAGCGUUAAGUAUUCCACCUGGGGAGUACGCCGGCAACGGUGAAACUCAAAGGAAUUGACGGGGGCCCGCACAAGCGGAGGAACAUGUGGUUUAAUUCGAUGAUACGCGAGGAACCUUACCCGGGCUUGAAUUGCAACCGAAUUAUCCGGAAACGGGUAAGCCGCAAGGCGGUUGUGAAGGUGCUGCAUGGUUGUCGUCAGCUCGUGCCGUGAGGUGUCGGCUUAAGUGCCAUAACGAGCGCAACCCUUACCCACAGUUGCCAUCAGGUUAUGCUGGGGACUCUGUGGAGACUGCCGUCGUAAGAUGCGAGGAAGGGGGGGAUGACGUCAAAUCAGCACGGCCCUUACGUCCGGGGCUACACACGUGUUACAAUGGGGGGUACAGCAGGCAGCUGGGCGGCGACGUCCGGCCAAUCCCUAAAUCCCCUCUCAGUUCGGACUGGAGUCUGCAACCCGACUCCACGAAGCUGGAUUCGCUAGUAAUCGCGCAUCAGCCACGGCGCGGUGAAUACGUUCCCGGGCCUUGUACACACCGCCCGUCAAGCCAUGAAAGCCGGGGGUACCUGAAGUGCGUAACCGUUUAGGAGCGCCCUAGGGUAAAACCGGUGAUUGGGGCUAAGUCGUAACAAGGUAACCGUAAGCUUCAC